AUACGUAGGUGACAAGCGUUAUCCGGAUUUACUGGGCGUAAAGGGCGUGUAGGCGGUCUUGCAAGUCAGAAGUGAAAUUCCUGAGCUCAACUCGGGCGCUGCUUCUGAAACUGCAGGACUUGAGUGCUGGAGGGGAUAGCGGAAUUCCUAGUGGAGCGGUAAAAUGCGCAGAUAUUAGGAAGAACACCGGAGGCGAAGGCGGCUAUCUGGACAGUAACUGACGCUGAGGCGCGAAAGCGUGGGGAGCAAACAGGAUUAGAUACCCUGGUAGCCCACGCCGUAAACGAUGAAUACUAGGUGUAGGGGGUAUCGACUCCCUCUGUGCCGCAGUUAACACAAUAAGUAUUCCGCCUGGGGAGUACGGCCGCAAGGUUGAAACUCAAAUGAAUUGACGGGG
rnacentral:rRNA from 1 species